rnacentral:rRNA from 1 species
AUAAAACAAAACUUUCAACAACGGAUCUCUUGGUUCUGGCAACGAUGAAGAACGCAGCGAAAUGCGAUAAGUAAUGUGAAUUGCAGAAUUCAGUGAAUCAUCGAAUCUUUGAACGCACAUUGCGCCCCCUGGUAUUCCGGGGGGCACACCUGUUCGAGCGCCAUUUCUACCCUGGAGCCCUGCUCUGUGAUGGGCCCCGUCCUCGCGGACGGGCCCGAAACCCGUGGGCGCCGUCGUCCGGCCCUGAGCGUAGCAAGAGAAAUCCCUCGCUCGGAGUGUCUGUCGGCAGGCCGCCCCGAAACUAUUAUUUACAAGA